UACGUAGGGUGCGAGCGUUAAUCGGAAUUACUGGGCGUAAAGCGUGCGCAGGCGGUUCGUUAAGUCAGAUGUGAAAGCCCCGAGCUCAACUUGGGAAUGGCAUUUGAAACUGGCGGGCUGGAGUGUGGCAGAGGGGGGUGGAAUUCCACGUGUAGCAGUGAAAUGCGUAGAGAUGUGGAGGAACACCGAUGGCGAAGGCAGCCUCCUGGGCCAGCACUGACGCUCAUGCACGAAAGCGUGGGGAGCAAACAGG
rnacentral:rRNA from 1 species